rnacentral:sRNA from 1 species
GUAAUAGAAUAGGUGACUCAAGGGUGGCCGGCUCACUCCCCGUAAGAAAGGGGGUGGUGCCAUGUCAGUAUUUGAAGCAUUAUUGCUCAUGUUUACUUUCGGAGCAUUAAUUGUCUCUAUAUUGUCAUUCAACCAUAAAAAAUAACCCAUCCUUGAGUUAGCGCUCGAGUGGGAUGGGUUAUCCUUACCAAUCAGCCGAUUCCUUUGAAGGAAACCUGCUAUUACAUCGGCCGUUUCAAUGUUAGCGCAUUGG